UCCGUCUCUGGGGCAGCUAGGUGACGCAGUAGAUAGAACACCUAGUUUGGAGUUGGAAUGGCUUGGGUUCAAGUCUGGCCUCAGAUACUUCCUAGUUGCUUCCUAGUUCUCUAGGACAAAUCACUUAAUCCCACUGAAAGAAAGAGAGAGAAAAACAGGAAGGAAGGAAGGAAGGAAGGAAGGAAGGAAGGAAGGAAGGAAGGAAGGAAGGAAGGAAGGAAUGCCCAUCUUCAAAAUGCUUUAUUUCAGAAACUAGGACAAAAAUCUUUCCCUUAUAGAAACUAUGGAAUAAUACCUAAUCAUACACAAUAAUGAGGACAUUUAGAAAUGCAUAGAUUAUAGUACUGUCUCAGAAAAUAUCCUUCUUUUUAUGGAAUCAUAGAUUUGGAGCUAGAAGGGACCUCAUAGAUCAUUCAAGGGUGCUUUUAAUAUUUCAAUAAUUUUUUUUUAAAUCAAUGGUUUCCUUUGCAAUCCUCUGUAUUUUAUCAUAUGCAUUUAAAAACACUCUUCUGAGAAUUGGACAAUAGUCUUCACCAGACAGCCAAAGGAAGCCAGGACACACACAAAAAGUUUAAAAAUUUUGAUCUAGUCUAAUCCCUUUGAUAGAGAAGAAACCAGUACCCAGAGACUUUCAGCAACUAAUCCAAGGUCCCACAGACAGUAAAUCCAAAGGCUGGGAUUCAAACUUGGAUGCCCUCACUCUAAAUCCAGAACUCUUCUCAUGGUCCCUUGCCAUCUCUCUGGAGUUGUUGAUUCUCUUCUCGCUUUGUCAUGGAGCUUUAAUGAAUUUGUGUUCUUAGGGUUUUCCCUGGGUCCCCCAUUUAGCAGGGAACUGACUUUCUCCCCAAGGACCCCCUAGUAUGAGGCCAGGUUGGAAGUGUGAAUGCUUAGAUCAGCCUCUCUCUACAGGGCGGAUUACAAACCCGAACCCCCAGCCUACACACCCAGCUUUUAUGAUGGCUGGCAGCUCCCACCCCCAUCUUGAGUCCAUCAAGGAUUGGGGGUCCCAAGAUGUCGAUCA
rnacentral:lncRNA from 1 species